AUUCCAGCUCCAAUAGCGUAUAUUAAUGUUGUUGCAGUUAAAAAGCUCGUAGUUGGAUUUCUGGUCGGAACGCCGGUCCGGCUCCGCAAGGGGUCGUGUAUUGGUUUCUCCUGCCAUCCUCAGGGGGAGCUGCGCUGGUAUUCAUUUAUCGGCGUGGUUACGCCUGCCGUUUACUGUGAACAAAUUAGAGUGUUCAAAGCAAGGUGUACUUGAAUACAUUAGCAUGGAAUAAUAAGAUAGGACUUUGGUGGUUCUUUUUGAUAUUUUGUUGGUUUGCACGCCAAAGUAAUGAUUAAUAGGAGCAGUUGGGGGUAUUCGUAUUCAAUUGUCAGAGGUGAAAUUCUUGGAUUUAUAGAAGACGAACUACUGCGAAAGCAUUUACCAAGGAUGUUUUCAUCG
rnacentral:rRNA from 1 species